rnacentral:lncRNA from 1 species
UGUCGUGCAGGCCAUGAGGAAGGCUUCGGCUGACAGGAGAGGCAUGCAGACCUCAAGCAGACGCUCCCUUGAAGGGCAGGUUGCAUUCAUGGUUGGUUCAUGGAGGCGGCCUUGGCUAGGCCUGGGCGGCAUCAGCCUCCAACAGCAGCAGCAGCAGCAGCAGCAGCAGCAGCAGCAGCAGCAGCAGCAGCAGCAGCAGGAGCAGCAGCAGCAGCAGCAGCAAGGCGCUGGCCGUUCCGCUCACCCACAAGAACAGCUGCCACCAGUACCCUGGGGAUGACUAGAGGCCGGACCACAGAUGCAGACCAUGUGGGGGUCCGGAGAGCUGCUUGUAGCGUGGUUUCUAGUACUGGCAGCAGGUGGUACUACUGAGCAUGUCUACAGACCCAGCCGUAGAGUGUGUACCGUGGGGGUUUCCGGAGGCUCCAUCUCAGAGACCUUUGUGCAGCGUGUAUACCAGCCUUACCUCACCACUUGUGAUGGACACAGAGCCUGUAGCACCUACCGAACCAUCUACCGGACUGCCUACCGGAUUGCCUAUCGCCAUAGCCCGGGGCUGACUCCCAGCAGGCCUCGCUAUGCCUGCUGCCCUGGUUGGAAGAGGACCAACGGGCUCCCUGGAGCUUGUGGAGCAGCAAUAUGCCAGCCACCGUGUGGGAAUGAAGGGAGUUGCAU